GGUCCCAUAGCUCAGUUGGUCAGAGCGUCGUACUAAUAUUCUCCUCUCUUAAGAUGGAAAUAUCCUGUAAUGCGAAGGCCGAGAGUUCAAGCCUCUCUGGGACCA